UUCGAUUGGCGGACGGGUGAGUAAUAUAUAGGUAAUGUGCCCUAGAGAAGAGGAUAACAGUUGGAAACGACUGCUAAUACUCUAUAUGCCUUUAAGACAAAAGUCUGCAAGGGAAAUAUUUAUAGCUCUAGGAUCGGCCUGUACGGUAUCAGCUAGUUGGUGAGGUAAUGGCUCACCAAGGCAAUGACGCCUAACUGGUUUGAGAGGAUGAUCAGUCACACUGGAACUGAGACACGGUCCAGACUCCUACGGGAGGCAGCAGUGGGGAAUAUUGCACAAUGGAGGAAACUCUGAUGCAGCAACGCCGCGUGGAGGAUGACACAUUUCGGUGCGUAAACUCCUUUUAUAUAGGAAGAUAAUGACGGUACUAUAUGAAUAAGCGCCGGCUAACUCCGUGCCAGCAGCCGCGGUAAUACGGAGGGCGCAAGCGUUACUCGGAAUCACUGGGCGUAAAGAGCGUGUAGGCGGAUAGAUAAGUCAGAAGUGAAAUCCUAUGGCUCAACCAUAGAACUGCUUUUGAAACUGUUUAUCUAGAGUGUGGGAGAGGUAGAUGGAAUUUCUGGUGUAGGGGUAAAAUCCGUAGAGAUCAGAAGGAAUACCGAUUGCGAAGGCGAUCUACUGGAACAUUAUUGACGCUGAGACGCGAAAGCGUGGGGAGCAAACAGGAUUAGAUACCCUGGUAGUCCACGCCCUAAACGAUGUACACUAGUUGUUGUGAGGCUAGACCUUGCAGUAAUGCAGUAAACACAUUAAGUGU
rnacentral:rRNA from 1 species